UCGCUUUGGCAGCACAUAUACUAAAAUUGGAACCAUACAAAGAAGAUUAGCAUGGCCCCGGCACAAGGAUGACACGCAAAAAGAAUAGUCCUUCCCCCCUCUU